rnacentral:rRNA from 1 species
GUCUGAGAGGACGAUCAGCCACACUGGGACUGAGACACGGCCCAGACUCNUNCGGGAGGCAGCAGUGGGGAAUCUUGCGCAAUGGGCGAAAGCCUGACGCAGCAACGCCGCGUGCGGGAUGACGGCCCUCGGGUUGUAAACCGCUUUCAGUGGGGACGAACCAAGACGGUACCCACAGAAGAAGGUCCGGCCAACUACGUGCCAGCAGCCGCGGUAACACGUAGGGACCAAGCGUUGUCCGGAUUCAUUGGGCGUAAAGAGCUCGUAGGCGGUUCGAUAAGUCGGGUGUGAAACCUCCAGGCUCAACCUGGAGACGCCACCCGAUACUGUCGUGACUAGAGUCCAGUAGGGGAGCGUGGAAUUCCUGGUGUAGCGGUGAAAUGCGCAGAUAUCAGGAGGAACACCAGCGGCGAAGGCGGCGCUCUGGGCUGGAACUGACGCUGAGGAGCGAAAGCGUGGGGAGCGAACAGGAUUAGAUACCCUGGUAGUCCACGCCGUAAACGUUGGGUACUAGGUGUGGGGUCUUAUCAACGGAUUCCGUGCCGAAGCUAACGCAUUAAGUACCCCGCCUGGGGAGUACGGCCGCAAGGCUAAAACUCAAAGGAAU